UUAAAGGAAUGAAACAUUUAAGAAAUAAUUAUUGAAAAAUGAUUUUUGGUACAAAUUCUCUCCCGUGUUCUAGAGAGUGCUAACCCUUCGGAGAAAUGUUCGUUGUAAACAAUCGUUAACUCUCCAUCUUCCGCCCUAUCAACCGUCUCCUUUGCCUUCGGUAAAUCAUGGUUAUUAUACUGCAUCGGCUGAUGUUGGUCUAGAAGACUGAAGUCUCCCAGGUCUAUUGGCUCGGUUCUCUUGAUGCAUAAUUGGUUAUAAUUUCUUAAUAUCAUUCCCUCUUAUAUUUUAUGAGUCAGGUAAGGUAAUUUCAACUUGAACUGUUUUCCCAACAAAAUCUGUUCAUGCCAAAACAAUGAACUUUAAGACAUCAAACUGUAAUUGAUCAAUGUUUUAAAUCCUGUUUAGCUUCAUUUUAUCUCUUCCUAUUCCCAACGUUUCAUUAUCAAUUCUCAAACAUGUAACUUUAAAUUUUGGUUAUAUUUAGUUCUAUAUAAGAUAAAGUAGUUAUUUUAAGACAAA